AGUGAACGCUGGCGGUAGGCCUAACACAUGCAAGUCGAACGGCAACACAGUAAGAGCUUGCUCUUACGGGUGGCGACUGGCGGACGGGUGAGGAAUACAUCGGAAUCUACUUUUUCGUGGGGGAUAACGUAGGGAAACAUACGCUAAUACCGCAUACAUCCUACGGGUGAAAGCAGGGGAUCUUCGGAACUUGCGCGAUAGAAUGAGCCGAUGUCGGAUUAGCUAGUUGGCGGGGUAAAGGCCCACCAAGGCGACGAUGCGUAGCCGGUCUGAGAGGAUGAUCAGCCACACUGGAACUGAGACACGGUCCAGACUCCUACGGGAGGCAGCAGUGGGGAAUAUUGGACAAUGGGCGCAAGCCUGAUCCAGCCAUACCGCGUGAGUGAAGAAGGCCUUCGGGUUGUAAAGCUCUUUUGUUGGGAAAGAAAAGCAGCAGAUUAAUACCCCGCUGUUCUGACGGUACCCAAAGAAUAAGCACCGGCUAACUUCGUG
rnacentral:rRNA from 1 species